UAACCUGCCUUGGAGUGGGAAUAACAGCUGGAAACAGCUGCUAAUACCGCAUAAUAUGUCUGAAUCGCAUGGUUCUGGACAUCAAAGAUUUAUCGCUCUGAGAUGGACUCGCGUCUGAUUAGCUGGUUGGCGGGGUAACGGCCCACCAAGGCGACGAUCAGUAGCCGGACUGAGAGGUUGGCCGGCCACAUUGGGACUGAGACACGGCCCAGACUCCUACGGGAGGCAGCAG
rnacentral:rRNA from 1 species